rnacentral:rRNA from 1 species
GGAUUAGAUACCCUGNUAGUCCACCCCGUAAACGUUGGGAACUAGUUGUGGGGACCAUUCCACGGUUUCCGUGACGCAGCUAACGCAUUAAGUUCCCCGCCUGGGGAGUACGGCCGCAAGGCUAAAACUCAAAGGAAUUGACGGGGACCCGCACAAGCGGCGGAGCAUGCGGAUUAAUUCGAUGCAACGCGAAGAACCUUACCAAGGCUUGACAUACACCAGAACACCGUAGAAAUACGGGACUCUUUGGACACUGGUGAACAGGUGGUGCAUGGUUGUCGUCAGCUCGUGUCGUGAGAUGUUGGGUUAAGUCCCGCAACGAGCGCAACCCUCGUUCUAUGUUGCCAGCACGUAAUGGUGGGAACUCAUGGGAUACUGCCGGGGUCAACUCGGAGGAAGGUGGGGAUGACGUCAAAUCAUCAUGCCCCUUAUGUCUUGGGCUUCACGCAUGCUACAAUGGCCGGUACAAAGGGCUGCAAUACCGUGAGGUGGAGCGAAUCCCAAAAAGCCGGUCCCAGUUCGGAUUGAGGUCUGCAACUCGACCUCAUGAAGUCGGAGUCGCUAGUAAUCGCAGAUCAGCAACGCUGCGGUGAAUACGUUCCCGGGUCUUGUACACACCGCCCGUCAAGUCAUGAAAGUCGGUAACACCUGAAGCCGGUGGCCUAACCCUUGUGGAGGGAGCCGUCGAAGGUGGGAUCGGUAAUUAGGACUAAGUCGUAACAAGGUAA